AAUAUCUUAUUCCAAAGUCCAAACAUCCCACUAAAGGAAACCCUCUCCUCUUCCAGUCAAGUAGGUUCCUUUUUUGUUUCACUGCCGCCCCCAACACAACCAGAGCCGCCCGCAGCUGCAAAAAUGGAACCACAGCUCCCUACUAUUAAAAACGUCUUCGUUAACGAAACUGAUGAUGACGACCCUCCAGCCCUUAGCUCUCAGGCACUAGCAGCCCUCAAAGAGUUCCUCGAAGAACAAAGGCAAUCUCUUGCUAACCAUGAAACAGCAGAAAAUGGGGAGGGAACACUUGAACCCGAGAGUGAAGUGGCUUUAGUAACAGAAGAUUGGAGGCUGAGCCAAUUCUGGUACGACCCAGAAACAGCCCGGACCCUUUCCCAAGAAGUUCUUUCUCUUUGCAGCCAUUCCAAUUAUAAAGUAGCUUGUAUUGCUUGCCCAACUCUCUAUGCCUAUCUUAAGAAAAUUGAUCCUAAUAUCUCUGUGCAACUUUUGGAGUAUGAUAAGCGUUUUGAGCAAUAUGGAAGUGAUUUUACAUUUUAUGAUUACAACCAACCCGAAGACCUGCCAUUGGAACUAAAGCAUACUUACCAAGUUGUAAUUGCCGAUCCUCCUUAUCUGGGGUUCAUUCCUUUUGCUGGUACAAGAGAAGCUCUAUUACGCUGUUACAUUUUCAUUUUUACCCUUAAUUGUGGGUCUUGUCUCAUAAGCAAAACCUUCUGCUUGCAACCAAUCUUGCUGUAACCACUAAGGGAAGAACCUAUUCUUCUUGUCUAUUUAACGCUUUUUAAACUAGUUUUUUCAAGCAAAUGUUUUGACAUUCUGUUUCUUUGAAUUGAUUCCAGGUUUUUGAAUAUGAGGAUGAACUUGCUUGUUUAUCUUGAUUACAGAGUAUAAAACCCACUUGCCUAUGCUUAUUUAUCUUGUGGCCAUUAAUAUGAGAUUUUCUUUCUGAUGAAAACGAAAUCAAAGACUUUUAAUUAGUAAAUACCAGAGAUUCUCUACCAAUUUACCUUGAUAUAAAGUUCCUCCUGUGAUACGUUUUUAAGUCUGGGAAAUCUGUAAUCCUACUGAUCUGCUUUACAGAGCUAUUUUAAAUAUAUUACCGUCGGAGAAUGUGAAGAUUUUGACAUAUUUCAAUCACAAGAUGGUAGGUAAACCACUAUUUUGGUCUCAUAUGGAACAUUUAGGGUUAGAGCAUCAGUUUCUAUUUUUCUCAUAAUCUCGAUUGAGCAGAUAUUUUAUAUGGGCACCUGUUUCUUAACUUUGCCAUGGCUGUACUGGUUUUCACUUGAGUUCAUGUUUGGAGGAAAUUUUUGACAGUACAUUACAUAUGUUGUGCAUGGUUGCAGAGCAAGGAGUGUUUAGAGAAAGUUACUCAAACAAUAUCUUUUCUUGCUCAACCACGAGAAUCUCACUUGCUUUUGCUUACGGGAGAGGUGCAAAGGCAUAGGGCUGCAGAGCUUUUGGGUUUGCGUGCAUGCAAUUUUUGGCCACGACACUCAAGCAAACUUGGAAAUGAGUUUCGGGUGUUCACAAACUAUGACCCUGGGGAGAGAUUAGGAGGAUGGGAGCAAGAACAAUAG